CAGCAGCCGCGGGAAUACGAAGGGGGCUAGCGUUGUUCGGAUUUACUGGGCGUAAAGCGCACGUAGGCGGAUCGAUCAGUCAGGGGUGAAAUCCCAGAGCUCAACUCUGGAACUGCCUUUGAUACUGUCGAUCUGGAGUAUGGAAGAGGUGAGUGGAAUUCCGAGUGUAGAGGUGAAAUUCGUAGAUAUUCGGAGGAUCACCAGUGGCGAAGGCGGCUCACUGGUCCAUUACUGACGCUGAGGUGCGAGAGCGUGGGGAGCAAACAGGAUUAGAUACCCCCGUAGUCCCUGUCUCUUAUCC
rnacentral:rRNA from 1 species